GAUGAACGCUAGCUACAGGCUUAACACAUGCAAGUCGAGGGGCAGCAUGGUCUUAGCUUGCUAAGGCCGAUGGCGACCGGCGCACGGGUGAGUAACACGUAUCCAACCUGCCGUCUACUCUUGGACAGCCUUCUGAAAGGAAGAUUAAUACAAGAUGGCAUCAUGAGUCCGCAUGUUCACAUGAUUAAAGGUAUUCCGGUAGACGAUGGGGAUGCGUUCCAUUAGAUAGUAGGCGGGGUAACGGCCCACCUAGUCUUCGAUGGAUAGGGGUUCUGAGAGGAAGGUCCCCACAUUGGAACUGAGACACGGUCCAAACUCCUACGGGAGGCAGCAGUGAGGAAUAUUGGUCAAUGGGCGAGAGCCUGAACCAGCCAAGUAGCGUGAAGGAUGACUGCCCUAUGGGUUGUAAACUUCUUUUAUAAAGGAAUAAAGUCGGGUAUGGAUACCCGUUUGCAUGUACUUUAUGAAUAAGGAUCGGCUAACUCCGUGCCAG
rnacentral:rRNA from 1 species